AAGCAAUACUCUGUGGCAGAUGAACAAAUCUAUCUGACACAAUUUGAGCUUACUAUAGCAAGAAAGCUUAACCUAUUCUGGUGUUCUCUUUCCCAUGAGACAACCAGCUAUAUAGGCUCAAAAAGU
ensembl:snoRNA